rnacentral:rRNA from 1 species
UACGUAGGGGGCAAGCGUUGUCCGGAUUUACUGGGCGUAAAGAGCUUGUAGGCGGCCAAACAGGUCCGUUGUGAAAACUGGAGGCUCAACCUCCAGACGUCGACGGAAACCGUGUGGCUAGAGUCCGGAAGAGGAGAGUGGAAUUCCUGGUGUAGCGGUGAAAUGCGUAGAGAUCAGGAAGAACAUCGGUGGCGAAGGCGCUCUGCUGGACCAUAACUGACACUCAGGGACGAAAGCUAGGGGAGCGAAUGGG